rnacentral:rRNA from 1 species
UACGUAGGGUGCGAGCGUUGUCCGGAAUUAUUGGGCGUAAAGAGCUUGUAGGCGGUCUGUCGCGUCUGCUGUGAAAAUCCGGGGCUCAACCCCGGACUUGCAGUGGGUACGGGCAGACUAGAGUGUGGUAGGGGGAGACUGGAAUUCCGUGGUGUAGCGGUGAAAUGCGCAGAUAUCAGGAGGAACACCGAUGGCGAAGGCAGGUCUCUGGGGCCACUACUGAC